CUUGGUCAUUUAGAGGAAGUAAAAGUCGUAACAAGGUUUCCGUAGGUGAACCUGCGGAAGGAUCAUUAAAGAAUUGCCCCGUCUUCUCGAAGAUGGGUUCUAUUCCAAACCGUGUUUACAUACCUUUGUUGCUUUGGCGGGCCGCCGCUUCGGCGUUGGCUCCGGCUGACUGCGCCCGCCAGAGGACCACAACUCUUUUGUUUAGUAAUGUCUGAGUACUAUAUAAUAGUUAAAACUUUCAACAACGGAUCUCUUGGUUCUGGCAUCGAUGAAGAACGCAGCGAAAUGCGAUAAGUAAUGUGAAUUGCAGAAUUCAGUGAAUCAUCGAAUCUUUGAACGCACAUUGCGCCCCUUGGGUAUUCCGAGGGGCAUGCCUGUUCGAGCGUCAUUAUAACCACUCAAGCCUCGGCUUGGUCUUGGGGUCCCGCGGUCUCGCGGCCCUUNAAAAUCAGUGGGCGGUGCCGUCUGGCUCUAAGCGUAGUAAUUCUCUCGCUAUAGGGUCCAGGUGGUUGCUUGCCAAAACCCCCAUUUUCUAUGGUUGACUCGGAUCAGGUAGGGAUACCCGCUGAACNUAAGCAUAUCAAUAGCGGAGGAAAAGAACCCACCAGGGAUUGCCUCAGUAACGGCGAGUGAAGCGGCANCAGCUCAAAUUUGAAAUCUGGCUCUUNCAGGUUCCGAGUUGUAAUUUGUAGAAGAUGCUUUGGGUGUAGCUCCGGUCUAAGUUCCUUGGANCAGGACGUCAUAGAGGGUGAGAAUCCCGUACGUGACUGGUUGCUUUCGCUCGUGUAAAGCUCUUUCGACGAGUCGAGUUGUUUGGGAAUGCAGCUCAAAAUGGGUGGUAAAUUUCAUCUAAAGCUAAAUAUUGGCCAGAGACCGAUAGCGCACAAGUAGAGUGAUCGAAAGAUGAAAAGCACUUUGGAAAGAGAGUUAAACAGUACGUGAAAUUGUUGAAAGGGAAGCGCUUGCAACCAGACUUGCACGCUGUUGAUCAUCCGAGAUUUUUCCCGGUGCACUCGGCAGUGUUCAGGCCAGCAUCGGUUUUGGUGGGCGGAUAAAGGCCUUGGGAAUGUAGCUUCUUUCGGGGAGUGUUAUAGCCCUCGGUGCAAUGCGCCCUACCGGGACCGAGGACCGCGCUUCGGCUAGGAUGCUGGCGUAAUGGUUGUAAGCGACCCGUCUUGAAACACGGACC
rnacentral:rRNA from 1 species